rnacentral:rRNA from 1 species
GAACGCGAAGAACCUUACCUGGGCUUGACAUACACCAGAUCGCUGCAGAGAUGUAGUUUCCCUUGUGGUUGGUGUACAGGUGGUGCAUGGUUGUCGUCAGCUCGUGUCGUGAGAUGUUGGGUUAAGUCCCGCAACGAGCGCAACCCUUGUCUUAUGUUGCCAGCAUUUGGUUGGGGACUCAUGAGAGACUGCCGGGGUUAACUCGGAGGAAGGUGGGGAUGACGUCAAAUCAUCAUGCCCCUUAUGUCCAGGGCUUCACACAUGCUACAAUGGUCGGUACAACGCGCAGCGACACUGUGAGGUGGAGCGAAUCGCUGAAAGCCGGUCUUAGUUCGGAUUGGGGUCUGCAACUCGACCCCAUGAAGUCGGAGUCGCUAGUAAUCGUAGAUCAGCAAUGCUGCGGUGAAUACGUUCCCGGGUCUUGUACACACC